rnacentral:rRNA from 1 species
GUAGUCUCGCACAGAUGCAUAUCAAUAAGCGGAGGAAAAGAAACUAACAAGGAUUCCCCUAGUAACGGCGAGUGAAGCGGGAAGAGCUCAAAUUUGAAAUCUUAAAGGGUUUCCCUUUACGAAUUGUAGUUUAAAGAAGUGUUUUCUGUUGAGGUUUUGGUAAAAGUUCUUUGGAAUAGGACAUCAUAGAGGGUGAGAAUCCCGUAUUUGACCUUUACUUUCAACUUUGUGAUACACUUUCAAAGAGUCGGAUUGUUUGGGAAUGCAGUCCAAAAUGGGUGGUAAAUUUCAUCUAAAGCUAAAUAUUGGCGAGAGAUCGAUAGCGAACAAGUACCGUGAGGGAAAGAUGAAAAGAACUUUGAAAAGAGAGUUAAACAGUACGUGAAAUUGUCAAAAGGGAAGCGUUUGACACCAGUGUUGUUUUUCUGAAAAUCAAUUAAAGAACUGUUUAUGCUAAGUUGUUUAGACUUUAUCAGCUAACUGUUUAGUUUUGAGCUUUUCUUUAAUGCACUUUUCAGUUAACAAGUCAACAUCAAUUUCUUUUGCUGUAAAAAAGCUUGAGGAAGGUGGCUUGAGAUUCGUCUUAAGUGUUUAUAGCCUCUUGCCUAUGCAGUCGGAGAGAUUGAGGUCUGCAGCGUAGAUCCUUCGGGGCUAAAUGCAUUUGUGCUAAGUUAUAGCAUUUUAUAGACAACUUGUUGACUAUGAUUUGUCUUGUAGCUUACUCGCUUAUGUUAUUUUACCUACGCUUAGGAUGUUGAUCUGUAGUGCGUGCGC